rnacentral:rRNA from 1 species
CCUACGGGUGGCAGCAGUGAGGAAUGUUGGUCAAUGGACGAGAGUCUGAACCAGCCAAGUAGCGUGAAGGAUGACUGCCCUAUGGGUUGUAAACUUCUUUUAUAUGGGAAUAAAACGCUCCACGUGUGGGAUUUUGUAUGUACUAUAUGAAUAAGGAUCGGCUAACUCCGUGCCAGCAGCCGCGGUAAUACGGAGGAUCCGAGCGUUAUCCGGAUUUAUUGGGUUUAAAGGGAGCGUAGGUGGAUUGUUAAGUCAGUUGUGAAAGUUUGCGGCUCAACCGUAAAAGUGCAGUUGAAACUGGCAGUCUUGAGUACAGUAGAGGUAUGCGGAAUUCGUGGUGUAGCGGUGAAAUGCUUAGAUAUCACGAAGAACUCCGAUUGCGAAGGCAGUUCACUGGACUGCAACUGACACUGAGGCUCGAAAGUGUGGGUAUCAAACAGGAUUAGAUACCCGGGUAGUC